CCAGUUUGUUGGAGUUCUUAGUGCAUUGGACUUCAUCUUGAUUCUGAGGGAGGUGUGUAUUUUGCCACUCUUUUCCAGUGCUAACAUAUUCUAUGAUGACUUUCAAGGAAAAUUGUAGUUUAUAUUCUUAAAAGAAUUUAUUGAUAUGAGAAGAAUUUGGAAAGUAAUAAUUUACUUUGGAAAGAUGUAUGUCUUGGUACCAAACUAUAGCUCUACUAAGGUUUGCAGUGCUUUUUUCAGUGCUUAUAUAUGGCCUAUUAUCUUCUCUGCUUAUAUUUAUAGUUAGAAAGGAACUACACCCCAAAAAGAAUGCAAAACAAAUAGAGCUAUUUUUAACCAUUUGCCUCAUGAACAUUCAUGUUUAUUUGACAAUCAAAGUGCAGUUUACAGUAUCAUCUCUCUCUGUAGUUCGCUUUUGGAUAAGAUGUCAUAUAUUCAUCUGCUAUGAAGAAUCACUAAAGAAUUCAUCUUUAUAUUGGCCAUACAUGCAAAGAUUCUUCAAAAGGUUUGGUCAGUUGGCUUACAGCUCCACAUGUCUAAAUGAUGCAGUUCAUGUUUUACAAGAUCAAAGGAAGAAUGGUUAAAAGUUGAAUACGUAAUAGUUUUCUUUUUGUUCUUUUCAUGCUUUCAUUACCAAAGAUUUUCUGGCAUUCAGUUGGCAACAUAAGCCUGUACAUAGUCCUCAUGCUUGCAUAUCAACACUUGUUGAACUUGCACUACAUGUCUCCUUGACUCCUUACAAGAUGCGAAGAUAGAGUUUUACAGGAAUAUCAAUCUGUUUUGUUGUACAUGUCCCCAUUUGUCUUUCUGGAGGUUUUUGACAUUUAUAAAAGCCAUGAAUUUCAGCUUGGAAAUAAUGGAUCUAAUUUGACGGAGGAAGAAUUAGAGACACAUACUAUAUCAGCUUGG
rnacentral:misc_RNA from 1 species